UACUUUUCUACAUGACAAUGAGCGCUUAAUCUUUUAGAAGUUUUCGUUGAAGUCAUGGCAUAUAGGAAGUAUCAAGAGCAACAUUUGGACAUAUCCUGACAUACUCGAGUUUCCCGAUUGAUUGUUUGUCAUUGUUAACAAAAUUUAAAUUUCGCCUACUGCGUUGCUUUAGCACUUUAUAUACACCGAUUGUUUGCUGUACAUGCGAGAAGAUGAUCACAAUAUUAUUCUACGUAAACAUCG